UACGUAUGGUGCAAGCGUUAUCCGGAUUUACUGGGCGUAAAGGGAGCGCAGGCGGCGCGCCAAGUCUGAUGUGAAACCCCGGGGCUCAACCCCGGGCAUGCAUUGGAAACUGGCGGGCUGGAGUGCCGGAGGGGUAAGCGGAAUUCCUAGUGUAGCGGUGAAAUGCGUAGAUAUUAGGAGGAACACCAGUGGCGAAGGCGGCUUACUGGACGGCAACUGACGCUGAGGCUCGAAAGCGUGGGGAGCAAACAGG
rnacentral:rRNA from 1 species